AUCUAGCUGAAGAGUCUUAAAUAAGACGAAACGUGUAUCCUGGAU
rnacentral:hammerhead_ribozyme from 1 species